GCUCUACAUUUUCCUGUUGAUCCUGCCGGACCUGACUGCUAUCGGAUUGGUACUAAGCCAUGCGAGUCGUUGUAGCAAUACAAGGCGGACUGCUCAGUAACACGUAGUUAACUUAACCUAUGGAUGGGAAUAACCUCGGGAAACUGAGAAUAAUACCCAAUAGACCACAGUGCCUGGAAUGGCCUGUGGUUGAAAUGAUUUAUCGCCGUAGGAUAGGACUGCGGCCUAUCAGCUUGUUGGUGAGGUAAUGGCCCACCAAGGCUAUAACAGGUACGGGCUCUGAGAGGAGGGGCCCGGAGAUGGGUACUGAGACACGGACCCAGGCCCUAUGGGGCGCAGCAGGCGAGAAACCUUUGCAAUGUGCGAAAGCACGACAAGGUUAAUCCGAGUGUCUCCUGCUAAAGGAGUCUUUUGUCAGUUGUAGAAUCACUGGUGAAUAAGGGGUGGGCAAGUUCUGGUGUCAGCCGCCGCGGUAAAACCAGCACCUCGAGUGGUCAGGAGGUUUAUUGGGCCUAAAGCAUCCGUAGCCGGUUGCAUAAGUUUUCGGUUAAAUCUAUGCGCUUAACGUAUAGGCCGCCGAAAAUACUGUGCAGCUAGGGAGUGG
rnacentral:rRNA from 1 species